GUAAUGACGACGUAUUCCCUGUUUUCAAUAUCAAAGUGACUUUUAGUUGGAUGCAUUGUAUUUUGAAACACAAUUUUAAAAAGUUGGCUGUGUUUGUUUGUUAUGAUUUUUUCUGUUGGAUAUUUUUCGUUAAACUGCGAUCGUGUAAAUAUUCGUCAGAUUUGAUUGGAUGACCCAUGCCAAAUGAAUUUUGGAUGAACAUAUUAUAAACAUUCAGCAACAUGAAUCCAACAUUUAAAACCGUAUCAAGAGCGAGUGUAGCAAGCCGACUAAAAAAUUUCCACUGUACAUAUUCGAAAUGUUAACCAAAUUUUCUACAAAGAUUCAAUGUGAAAUCAAGAGCAAAUAAAAUCAAUGGCCAUUAUUCUAUCAGAUAUUCUGGAUCAAAGCGUUGCAGACCCAAAUAGUACAUUCGAAAAUUGUAUGCCGAAAAUAGAACGAAUUGUACACCAAAUGCUGAAUAAAUGAAGUUAAACAUGCGCUAUCGUACAGUGUCCCAUCAGAGUAUACCCUGAUCACGAUGAAUCGGUGAAGGUAUCGCAAAAAAAUGACGGUGUCAUCGAAUGAGAAGAAUCGAUGCUUUAUGAACGAAAAGGACUUGUACAAUUUAAGUCACAGUGUUUAAACAUUCGCAAUAUGAUCGACCAUUCAACGGGCAAUCCACAUCAUUCAAAAAUGCUAGAACAAUAAAAAAUUAGUUUGAAAAAAA